CACGGUAACAGUUCCGAUGUCGUCUGUUGACAACGUGUGUAAACAACUUCUAAGUUACAGCUCAUCGCUCAGAAGAAAGGAAGGUUUAUCAUAAAGGAUAAAUACAUGCGUUCUUUUAAAAUAAAGAAUAUGAAUAGCUUCAGCCUGAAAGUUCACACAGUAUUGAAUGAUUCUCAACUUAUCAGGUCAUAUGAUAUAAGUUUUCGGAACUGGAAGUUGGAGAAAUUCGGCAUCCGAUCACAGUGAUCUUUCGUAUGACGAAACCUGGAAAGAAGGUCGACGGCUACAAAAAUGUAGCUCUGGCUGAUCACCUACCACAGAAUAUGUUCGUUAAGAGUAAAUCCCCUGCGAAUACUGUCUGUGAACGGAAAUACGAACUUCAAAGCUUGAACCAGGAGGGCAUUUUGUCCAUACCAUAUCGUUGUAGCUGCAGUGCAUGUAACCUGCAUAUCAUACACGUUUAACAGUGUAGGAACGAGGGAAAACAUAGGACUGGUGAAUUUGUUAUCAAUUCAAAAGCUGUACAUGGAAUGAUACAUGUAGGAAUUUGUGCCACACAUUUCAACAAUUUUCUUAAUGGAUUGAAUGUACUUUUUGUGAAUUCAUCAGACAUACUUAAAGAAAAAGGAGAAUGAAACUGGAAAGAAAAUAUUUGCAGUUGCAAAAGAAUCCUGUAAAUAAAUUCAAAACUCAGCAAAAGAAGAAACAGUUUUAAACAUGGUUAAUUUAAUGAAUAAUUGGAAGGUCUCAUUGUCAUCAUUUAACAGCAGGUUAUUAGCAGCAGUUUUUCAGAAAAAUGAAGGAUAGCUGUCAAUGGUAAAUACAUACAUUUUAGGAUAAUUACAUGUAGUUACCUUUGAGAAAAAACUUAGGUUUCAUUUGAGACUUUUUAAUCUGAUAAUGGUGUUUUUCAGGCAUUUACAACAUUUUUUUGUUUGGACAAUAUAUUUAGUCCACUCAACUAUAAAAUGUAGGAUCAUGUAAAUUUGUACACAGAUCUCACUGACCUACAUUUUCCACUUCACUGACUUUGGUAACAUUAAAAAUCCAAUUUCAUAUACAACAAAUGUAUAUCUCAGCAACUAAAAGGUGUCAGAUCAUGCAAACUUAUAUAUACUCUCAGAGUCUCAGUUAGUAACUCAGCUUCCAGACAAAAGAAGGUCACAGUGAUCACAUUUUACACUAUUGAUUUGUACUGUAUUUUAUAUCUUAAAUACAAAGUAUAUAGUCAAGACUGCCACUGGUUCUUAUGUGCCACAAUUAUGACAAUGAAGAUAACUUUGUGAUGUAGAUAACUUAUGUUUAUCACAAACUUGGUCGCAUGCUGCAUAUAUGCAAAUUUAUACCAAAAAGAACAGUUCAACUGUAUUGAUUUAAGGUAGACAGUAAAGGUCACACCUAUUAAAUAUACAUGUAGACCUUGAAUUUGCAUUGGACACUAUAAUGCUGCCUAUAGCAUAUAUAUUGUCAAUUAUUGCAUGCCAAAGUGUCAUUGUACACAAAACAAAAACCACUCAAAAGGAUGUCCAUCAUAUGCAGAAGCAAUAUAAAAUGCAUACCCAUCAGCUGACCUAAUUAUUGCAAUCACUUCAAAAACCUGGCCAUAUAUCAUAUUAUAAAACGCUUAAGGAGUACCUUUGUUAGUCAGGUAUAAUACAAUCUUUUUAAAUUGAUGUUGUAAUGCAUGAUUGGAUUAAUU